rnacentral:rRNA from 1 species
AGUUUGAUCCUGGCUCAGGAUGAACGCUAGCUACAGGCUUAACACAUGCAAGUUGAGGGGCAGCAUGACGAUAGCUUGCUAUUGUUGAUGGCGACCGGCGCACGGGUGAGUAACGCGUAUCCAACCUGCCCUUGUCCAUCGGAUAACCCGUCGAAAGGCGGCCUAACACGAUAUGCAGUCCACAGAAGGCAUCUGACGCGGACGAAAUGUGAAGGAGAAGGAUGGGGAUGCGUCUGAUUAGCUUGUUGGCGGGGUAACGGCCCACCAAGGCGACGAUCAGUAGGGGUUCUGAGAGGAAGGCCCCCCACAUUGGAACUGAGACACGGUCCAAACUCCUACGGGAGGCAGCAGUGAGGAAUAUUGGUCAAUGGGCGAGAGCCUGAACCAGCCAAGUAGCGUGCAGGAUGACGGCCCUAUGGGUUGUAAACUGCUUUUAUGCGGGGAUAAAGUGAGCCACGUGUGGCUUAUUGCAGGUACCGCAUGAAUAAGGACCGGCUAAUUCCGUGCCAGCAGCCGCGGUAAUACGGAAGGUCCGGGCGUUAUCCGGAUUUAUUGGGUUUAAAGGGAGCGUAGGCCGGAGAUUAAGCGUGUUGUGAAAUGUAGAUGCUCAACAUCUGCACUGCAGCGCGAACUGGUUUCCUUGAGUACGCACAAAGUGGGCGGAAUUCGUGGUGUAGCGGUGAAAUGCUUAGAUAUCACGAAGAACUCCGAUUGCGAAGGCAGCUCACUGGAGCGCAACUGACGCUGAAGCUCGAAAGUGCGGGUAUCGAACAGGAUUAGAUACCCUGGUAGUCCGCACGGUAAACGAUGGAUGCCCGCUGUUGGUCUGAAUAGGUCAGCGGCCAAGCGAAAGCAUUAAGCAUCCCACCUGGGGAGUACGCCGGCAACGGUGAAACUCAAAGGAAUUGACGGAAG